UACGUAGGGUCCGAGCGUGUCCGGAAUUAUUGGGCGUAAAGAGCUCGUAGGCGGUUUGUCGCGUCUGCUGUGAAAUCCCGAGGCUCAACCUCGGGCCUGCAGUGGGUACGGGCAGACUUGAGUGGUGUAGGGGAGACUGGAAUUCCUGGUGUAGCGGUGGAAUGCGCAGAUAUCAGGAGGAACACCGAUGGCGAAGGCAGGUCUCUGGGCACUUACUGACGCUGAGGAGCGAAAGCGUGGGGAGCGAACAGG
rnacentral:rRNA from 1 species